UGUGACUGCGUACCUUUUGUAUAAUGGGUCAGCGACUUAUAUUCAGUGGCAAGGUUAACCAUCUAGGGGAGCCGUAGGGAAACCGAGUCUUAACUGGGCGUUCAGUCUCUGGAUAUAGACCCGAAACCAGGUGAUCUAGCCAUGGGCAGGUUGAAGGUUGAGUAACAUCAACUGGAGGACCGAACCGACUAAUGUUGAAAAA
rnacentral:rRNA from 1 species